UACGUAGGGGGCGAGCGUUGUCCGGAAUCAUUGGGCGUAAAGCGCGCGUAGGCGGCCCGGUAAGUCCGCUGUGAAAGUCGGGGGCUCAACCCUCGAAUGCCGGUGGAUACUGUCGGGCUCGAGUCCGGAAGAGGAGUGUGGAAUUCCUGGUGUAGCGGUGAAAUGCGCAGAUAUCAGGAGGAACACCAAUGGCGAAGGCAGCACUCUGGGACGUGACUGACGCUGAGACGCGAAAGCGUGGGGAGCAAGCAGG
rnacentral:rRNA from 1 species